GCCUCGGGACCUGCUUUUGAAAAGGAGAGGUCGACCUGGGAGAGCCGCUGAACGAGAUACUCUUCGGAAUCGGUAACUGCUUAUGGCAGGCGGUGAGAGAGUGGGGGUGAUACAGUGUGGAACCUGCGUCCCCCCAAAACAUAAUGUCAACACUUUCAAAUUGCUUUCCGAGAUCCCGAAUUUUAGGGGGUGCAUCUUCCAGGGGGGGCCUGGGAGCUUACCUGUUUUGUUUACCCGCCCAAGUGCCUAAUGCAGAGUAGUUACCUAAUAAAUAUUUGCCAUGCGGAUGACUGCACAGCCGAAUGAGCCCCGUUCCAUCAUAGGGAUGUAGGAGGAUUUGCGGAGCCAAGCCCCACCUGGGAGGCACCUAAGUCCUUGCCAGUUUUUCUCAAUUAUGGCUCUGCAACGAAUAUCCUCUGUGCAUAAAUCCUUGACUGCAUCUCUUGAUUAUUUCCUCAGGAUAUUUUCCUCGAAGUGGGAUUACUGGGUUGAAGGGUAUGCACAUAUGUAAGGCUCUUGAUUCAGAGUCCCUCCAGCCGCGCCAGAAUGAGUCAGCUUCCCAGCAAGCUGGCCAAAACUCGGUAUCAUCGGCCUUCAUUUUUAUUUCUCUGUCUUUUUUCUUUGCCAUCUUGAUAAGAUAAAAAUGAUAUCCCAUUUUAUUUGCAUUUCUUUGUGGACUAAUUAGGUGGAGAUUGGACUAACUUUAAAGAAAUAUUCUUAAGGAGCACCGAGAAAUCCUGUGUGGAAAAGGAGACCGUGACACCAGGCACAUUCUGCCCAGUGAGGUGAAACCAAAGGGCUCCAAUGGUCUGGUGUGAUUUGACCAGAAGAUGUAAACACAUUUGAGCCUUGCUCCAGAGGCUUCCCCUGAGCAAGGGAGGGGAAGCUGUGACUUACUAGCUUCCCUAUGUUUGUUAUUUUUUGUUAUUUUCAUUUCCUGAUGAGGAGUAAAUGUUUCAUAAAGCAAAUGAAAACCCUGUGUAAUUAUCUUUAAGGACAGCAAGAAAAAGUAGAAGUGGGAAAACUAGUUCACUUUAACGUCAUGGGAAAGGGGAGGGGGGAGGGGUGAAGUUUGAAGCCUGUUUCCAGGCGGUGGGAGGGAAGUCCCUGAAGAUGGGGCUGGCAGUGGGGCGGGGAGGGAGUGAGCAAGAGGCUUCCCAGGGCUCUGGAGACUUCCUUCUGGAAAGGCUGCUGUGUGUUUGUAGCGCUUAUGAGGCCUGUGGUCCCUGGGGACCUGGAAGGGGCGUUUAAUGGACUUUUGAGGAUCAAAGUCAGAUUGCCAGGGACAAAGGAAGGUUGUGAGGAAAUGGAGGCCACUGCAUCUCCGGCCGUGCUCCGGGAAUGGGGAGAAGGUACCUGUGGCAUUUUCCCCGGAUAACGGGAGAUGGUGGUCCCUAGAGCUUUUGUGGGCUAUGAAACGGUCUUAGCUCAGGUACUAUGACAGGCAGCUUCUGAGGUGGCCCCCACUGAUCCCUGGCUCCUCAUAUCCAGCCCUUGGGAUUCUGAAGAAAGGAAUGUGGCAGAAGCUGCCUUGUUGUGAACUGCUCUGUGAUGAAGGCCAUGUGACAAGGAGCAGAGUGAAGCCUCCGGCCAAAAACCUGUGAGGAACUGAAUCCUUCCAGCAAUGAUGUGAGCGAGCUUGGCACAGGGGUCCCCCCACCAAGCUGGGCCUUCAGAUGAGAUGGCCGCCCCAGCAGUCAGCAUUAACCGCAACCUCAUGGAAGACCUUCAGCCACGAGAGGCAGCCAGUUAAGUCAUGCCUGGAUUCCUGACCCAAAAAAAAA